rnacentral:rRNA from 1 species
AACGAACGCUGGCGGCAUGCCUAACACAUGCAAGUCGAACGAGACCUUCGGGUCUAGUGGCGCACGGGUGCGUAACGCGUGGGAACCUGCCCUUAGGUUCGGAAUAACUCCCCGAAAGGGGUGCUAAUACCGGAUAAUGUCUUCGGACCAAAGAUUUAUCGCCUUUGGAUGGGCCCGCGUUGGAUUAGCUAGUUGGUAGGGUAAAAGCCUACCAAGGCGACGAUCCAUAGCUGGUCUGAGAGGAUGAUCAGCCACACUGGGACUGAGACACGGCCCAGACUCGUAAGGGAGGAAGCAGUGGGGAAUAUUGGAGAAUGGGCGAAAGCCUGAUCCAGCCAUGUCGCGUGAGUGAAGAAGGUCUUCGGAUUGUAAAGCACUUAAGGUUGGAAGGAAGCGAAGCAUGUUAACACCGUGCUGUUUUGACGGUACCAAAAGAAUAAGCACCGGCUAACUUCGUG